UUAUGAGUCACUUUCAAGUCUAAAGCAGGUUUCUGGGUUGGGGAGGGGUAUUGGGGAUCUGCUCCUUGUGGUUAAUGGAGCCAGGCUGAUGGAGCCUCCAUAGCAACACUUGCUUCCUUCUAGAAGAAGGAAGAGGAUGUGGGGAGUCAUGCGCGAGCUUCCACCAGGAAAUGAUAAACAUCACUUCCGCUACUGUUUCAUGGUUCAAAGAGAAGGCAAUAUGAAGAUAGAGACAAUGGAGAUUUUAAAACGUUGAUUGGUGGAGACUGGAAAGUUGUGGUCAGAAGCCAAGGAAUGCUGACAGCCACCAUAAACUGGAAGAGGGUCUUGCUCUAUUGCACAGGAGUGCAGUGGUACAAUCAUGGCUGUCUGCGGCCUCAAUCUCCCUGGCUUAAGCAAUCCUCCUGCCUCAGCCUCCCAAAGUAGCUGGGACUACAGGAAAAGUGUCAGGCCCAUUGAAGUUACCACGUGCCAUGGCUGUGAGUGCCUUCACUACUUGGAGUAGGCUCAUCAGUAGACAACCCUC